rnacentral:rRNA from 1 species
UACGAAGGGGGCUAGCGUUGCUCGGAAUCACUGGGCGUAAAGCGCAUGUAGGCGGCUUUUUAAGUCAGGGGUGAAAUCCUGGAGCUCAACUCCAGAACUGCCUUUGAUACUGAGAAGCUUGAGUCCGGGAGAGGUGAGUGGAACUGCGAGUGUAGAGGUGAAAUUCGUAGAUAUUCGCAAGAACACCAGUGGCGAAGGCGGCUCACUGGCCCGGUACUGACGCUGAGGUGCGAAAGCGUGGGGAGCAAACAGG